rnacentral:rRNA from 1 species
CACGUAGGGUGCGAGCGUUGUCCGGAAUUAUUGGGCGUAAAGAGCUCGUAGGCGGUGUGUCGCGUCGGCCGUGAAAACCUGCAGCUUAACUGUGGGCUUGCGGUCGAUACGGGCAUCACUGGAGUUCGGCAGGGGAGAGUGGAAUUCCUGGUGUAGCGGUGGAAUGCGCAGAUAGUCAGGAAGAACACCCGUGGCGAAGGCGGCUCUCUGGGAAACG